UGGGGAAUUUUGGACAAUGGGCGAAAGCCUGAUCCAGCAAUGCCGCGUGUGUGAAGAAGGCCUUCGGGUUGUAAAGCACUUUUGUCCGGAAAGAAAUCCUUGGCUCUAAUACAGUCGGGGGAUGACGGUACCGGAAGAAUAAGCACCGGCUAACUACGUGCCAGCAGCCGCGGUAAUACGUAGGGUGCAAGUGUUAAUCGGAAUUACUGGGCGUAAAGCGUGCGCAGGCGGUUUGCUAAGACCGAUGUGAAAUCCCCGGGCUCAACCUGGGAACUGCAUUGGUGACUGGCAGGCUAGAGUAUGGCAGAGGGGGGUAGAAUUCCACGUGUAGCAGUGAAAUGCGUAGAGAUGUGGAGGAAUACCGAUGGCGAAGGCAGCCCCCUGGGCCAAUACUGACGCUCAUGCACGAAAGCGUGGGGAGCAAACAGGAUUAGAUACCCUGGUAGUCCACGCCCUAAAACGAUGUCAACUAGUUGUUGGGGAUUCAUUUCCUUAGUAACGUAGCUAACGCGUGAAGUUGACCGCCUGGGGAGUACGGUCGCAAGAUUAAAACUCAAAUGAAUUGACGGGGUCAUAGCUGUUU
rnacentral:rRNA from 1 species